ensembl:lncRNA
AUUAAGCUCCGGGCCCUGGGUCCGGACCCCACCCUGUACCACUGGGUCCUGGUCUUCCUGACGGGCCGAACCCCAGGGGGUCAAGGGUCAGAAACAACACCUCUACUUAGCUAAUCCUCAAUAUGGGCCCCACAAGGAUGUGUGCUCAGCCCCUCCUGUGCUCCCUCUUCACCCAUGACUGCGUGGCCACGCACGCCUCCAACUCAAUCAUCAAGUUUUCAGACGACACAACAGUAGUAGGCAUGAUUACCAACAAUGACAAGACGGCCUACAGGGAGGAGGUGAGGGCCCUGGCGGAGAGGUGCCAGGGAAAUAACCUCUCCCUCAACGUCAACAAAAUGAAGGAGCUGAUCGUGGACUUCAGGAAACAGCAGAGUGAGCACGCCCCUAUCCACAUCGACGGGACCGCAGUGGAGAAGGAGGUCCAAGAAGCUCCCUGAUAAUAAGCCCUGUUGGCCCUCACACUUUGCUGCCUGCCUGAGAUAUGAGACGAGGGGGAGAGAGAGUCAACCCAACCUAACCCAACGCAGAUGAAUCUCGUAGGAUGUCGAUGUGUCUCACAUCGCUCAUGUCACCUGGAAUCACCUGGAAUCACCUGGAAUCACCUGGAAUCACCUGGAAUCACCUGGAAUCACCUGGAAUCACCUGGAAUCACCUGGAAUCACCUGGUGACAGUAACUAUUGGGAUGGUC